CAACUUCAGAACCACAGCACCCAUCAGUCGUUUUGUUUAAUGGGUGCUCACUAAAUAAUUAUAUCAUAUUGAUUAAAUUUUUGCUAUAGCUAUACUUAGUUUACGUCAAGGUUAAUGGGUGCUUGAGCACCUAAUAUUACCAUGUAAAUUCGCCCCUGCCCGCAACAAGAAAUAAUGGAUAAGGAACCUGAUUUAUUCGGUUGGUUGAGAAAUUAUGAAUCAUUUGAAUGAUGAAAGUAUGGUAAAUAUGGCAGUAAUGAUCUUUGAACUGAAGAAUUGGAUGCAGUUAACUUUUGCCUGCGAGCUGUCUGAUCUUGAAGAUGGACUUUAGAGGAUAAAAGCUUUCUGCUUGAGGCUAGAAAUUUGAUUAUCAUUUGCUGAUUUAUUGAGAAACAAUCUUUCACUAGCAAAGAGCGUUAAAAAAGAAUAAAGUUCUCACUAUGCAACUAAUAUUUCUUUUUCAGAGUUAUACUACUUGGAGGCUGGAAUAAGGGUGUAUUGUGGGCCGGCCCUAGCCCGGAACCGGCCCGGGCUCGCUUGCCAAAUGGUCCGGUUCAAACGGGCCGGUCUCUUAGUGGUGCAAAAGCUCAUAUGGGUUCGCUUGCCAAAUGGUCCGGUUCAAACGGGCCGGUCUCUUAGUGGUGCAAAAGCUCAUAGUGGGCCGGUCCUAACCAAAUACCCCGUGAGCCUGGGACUGUUUAGUCCGAGACCGGCAGACGGGUCUGGGCUAGUUCAACCGGGCCAAACGGGCUCCAAUGGCUAUUUUUUUAAAAAAAGUGCCAGCGGUCAGAUGUUUAAAAUCUAGCCGUUUGGAACUUUAAAAAUAUCUAUUUGUCCCCAAACUUUAUUUUAACCCCAAACUUUUUGUAAUUACACUUUUCCCUAUUCUCAACUAUAAAUACCCCUCAUUCUUUUAUUUUACUCACAAAUUCAUCAACCUCUCUCUAAUUUUCUUCUAUAAUUGCUUGCUUUAUUAUUGCAAUUUUGUGAAAAAUUGUGAAGUUAGUGAAUUGAAGUAUUCAAGUCUUCAACGAUAUUUAAUUUUUAAGAAGUUGUUCGUCAAUUCGGUAAACUCGUUCCAACUCUUAAGUUUUAAUAUUAUA
rnacentral:lncRNA from 1 species